rnacentral:rRNA from 1 species
GACAGAGGGUGCAAACGUUGCUCGGAAUUACUGGGCGUAAAGCGCGUGUAGGCGGCUCCGCGAGUCCGAUGUGAAAGCCCGGGGCUCAACCCCGGAAGUGCAUUGGAUACUACGGAGCUGGAGGCUGGAAGAGGAGGGCGGAAUUCCCGGUGUAGAGGUGAAAUUCGUAGAUAUCAGGAGGAAUACCGAUGGCGAAGGCAGGUCUCUGGGCUAGAACUGACGCUCAUGCACGAAAGCGUGGGGAUCAAACAGG